UUACGGUCGUAACACAUUGAAACAUUGGUUCCCGUAUGAUCAUCGAAGUUAAGUCACAAUGAGCUAGGUCAGUACCUAGAUGGGUGACCGCUUCGGAAUAUCAGGUACUGUAAG